rnacentral:rRNA from 1 species
UACGAAGGGGGCUAGCGUUGCUCGGAAUCACUGGGCGUAAAGCGCACGUAGGCGGAUUGCUAAGUCAGGGGUGAAAUCCUGGAGCUCAACUCCAGAACUGCCUUUGAUACUGGCAACCUUGAGUCCGGGAGAGGUGAGUGGAACUGCGAGUGUAGAGGUGAAAUUCGUAGAUAUUCGCAAGAACACCAGUGGCGAAGGCGGCAUCCUGGACCGGCAUUGACGCUGAGGAGCGAAAGCCAGGGGAGCAAACGGG